AACGAACGCUGGCGGCAUGCCUAACACAUGCAAGUCGAACGGGAUCCUGGUUUCGGCCAGGUGAGAGUGGCGGACGGGUGAGUAACGCGUGGGAACCUGCCCAGUGGUGGGGGAUAACUGCGGGAAACUGCAGCUAAUACCGCAUGAGCCCGCAAGGGGAAAGAUUGAUCGCCAUUGGAGGGGCCCGCGUUCGAUUAGGUAGUUGGUGAGGUAACGGCUCACCAAGCCUUCGACGAUAGCUGGUCUGAGAGGAUGAUCAGCCACACUGGGACUGAGAUACGGCCCAGACUCCUACGGGAGGCAGCAGUGGGGAAUAUUGGACAAUGGGGGCAACCCUGAUCCAGCAAUGCCGCGUGAGUGAUGAAGGCCU
rnacentral:rRNA from 1 species